rnacentral:rRNA from 1 species
ACCUGAAACCGUGUACGUACAAGCAGUGGGAGCACAGAGCAAUCUGUGUGACUGCGUACCUUUUGUAUAAUGGGUCAGCGACUUAUAUUCUGUAGCAAGGUUAACCGAAUAGGGGAGCCGAAGGGAAACCGAGUCUUAACUGGGCGUUAAGUUGCAGGGUAUAGACCCGAAACCCGGUGAUCUAGCCAUGGGCAGGUUGAAGGUUGGGUAACACUAACUGGAGGACCGAACCGACUAAUGUUGAAAAAUUAGCGGAUGACUUGUGGCUGGGGGUGAAAGGCCAAUCAAACCGGGAGAUAGCUGGUUCUCCCCGAAAGCUAUUUAGGUAGCGCCUCGUGAAUUCAUCUCCGGGGGUAGAGCACUGUUUCGGCAAGGGGGUCAUCCCGACUUACCAACCCGAUGCAAACUGCGAAUACCGGAGAAUGUUAUCACGGGAGACACACGGCGGGUGCUAACGUCCGUCGUGAAGAGGGAAACAACCCAGACCGCCAGCUAAGGUCCCAAAGUCAUGGUUAAGUGGGAAACGAUGUGGGAAGGCCCAGACAGCCAGGAUGUUGGCUUAGAAGCAGCCAUCAUUUAAAGAAAGCGUAAUAGCUCACUGGUCGAGUCGGCCUGCGCGGAAGAUGUAACGGGGCUAAACCAUGCACCGAAGCUGCGGCAGCGACGCUGAUGCGUUGUUGGGUAGGGGAGCGUUCUGUAAGCCUGUGAAGGUGUGCUGUGAGGCAUGCUGGAGGUAUCAGAAGUGCGAAUGCUGACAUAAGUAACGAUAAAGCGGGUGAAAAGCCCGCUCGCCGGAAGACCAAGGGUUCCUGUCCAACGUUAAUCGGGGCAGGGUGAGUCGACCCCUAAGGCGAGGCCGAAAGGCGUAGUCGAUGGGAAACAGGUUAAUAUUCCUGUACUUGGUGUUACUGCGAAGGGGGGACGGAGAAGGCUAUGUUGGCCGGGCGACGGUUGUCCCGGUUUAAGCGUGUAGGCUGGUUUUCCAGGCAAAUCCGGAAAAUCAAGGCUGAGGCGUGAUGACGAGGCACUACGGUGCUGAAGCAACAAAUGCCCUGCUUCCAGGAAAAGCCUCUAAGCAUCAGGUAACAUCAAAUCGUACCCCAAACCGACACAGGUGGUCAGGUAGAGAAUACCAAGGCGCUUGAGAGAACUCGGGUGAAGGAACUAGGCAAAAUGGUGCCGUAACUUCGGGAGAAGGCACGCUGAUAUGUAGGUGAAGUCCCUCGCGGAUGGAGCUGAAAUCAGUCGAAGAUACCAGCUGGCUGCAACUGUUUAUUAAAAACACAGCACUGUGCAAACACGAAAGUGGACGUAUACGGUGUGACGCCUGCCCGGUGCCGGAAGGUUAAUUGAUGGGGUCAGCGCAAGCGAAGCUCUUGAUCGAAGCCCCGGUAAACGGCGGCCGUAACUAUAACGGUCCUAAGGUAGCGAAAUUCCUUGUCGGGUAAGUUCCGACCUGCACGAAUGGCGUAAUGAUGGCCAGGCUGUCUCCACCCGAGACUCAGUGAAAUUGAACUCGCUGUGAAGAUGCAGUGUACCCGCGGCAAGACGGAAAGACCCCGUGAACCUUUACUAUAGCUUGACACUGAACAUUGAGCCUUGAUGUGUAGGAUAGGUGGGAGGCUUUGAAGUGUGGACGCCAGUCUGCAUGGAGCCGACCUUGAAAUACCACCCUUUAAUGUUUGAUGUUCUAAC